UCAAAAGUUGUACAAUUUCAAAUUCACUCAAAAACAUCCAUUAAUAUAUUUUAAUCAUAUCAAUUACAAAUUGGAAACCCUAAUUUCUAAUUACAAUCAAAUAGCAAUCAAAUCCUAAAACUCCUAAUACAAAUCAAUCAAAUAUCAAUCAGGUUACAAAUUUCCAAUACAUCAAUCUAAUUAAAAUCAAAACCCUAAAACUAAUCUAUAAAUAACCUAAAUAAAAAUCAGAAUGAGGAAGAAAAAAUUUAGAACCCUAAGCACAUUAUUGCCUCUGCAAAACCCUAAAACAGAAUGUUGUACUUGAUUGUGGGUUUUUUUAUUGUGGUAGUUGUUCAGGGUUUGAUUUUAGGGGAAAGGUUAGGGUAUACUAAAAAGGGGUUUAGGGUUAGGGUUGUAAUUUUUUUAUUUGAUUUUGAGAAUUUGGAGGUUUAAUUAAGGUACAGGGAAGGUCGGUUUAUGGAUCUGCCAAGGUUUUGUGUGGAUCUGAGUGGAAGAAGGUGAGAUUUGGGCAGAGGUUAGGGUUUGGUGGAGGUAGAAGAUGAAUAUUCAUCUUCUUAUGGUUAAGGUUCCUCACAAAGUUGUUAGGGUUCAUCUGAACCCAACUAGGGUUCAUCAUCCAGGGUUAGGUUUUAAAGGGUUUUGGGUUAGGGUUCUUGAAAUGUGCAGGGAUCUGGAAAUUCCAAAUGAAGGUUUGAAGUUUCUAGUUGAACUUCAAUCGAAAAUUGGGGUUUAGUGGUGGUUUUAGGGGCGGUUGUGGGUUGAGGGUGGUGGUCGAAGGAAGGCUCAUAGAAGAAGAAAGAAGAGAGAGCGAGAGGGAAUAGAGAGAAGGAGAGUGAGGAAAUGAAAUGGAAAACGGGGGGAAAUGGAUUAUAUACACCCCAUGGAUGGUGCUUGGUGAGAGACACAUGGGUCUCUCUCAGCCAAUGAAAUUGCAUAGUCUGACCAAUCUUAGUAUACAUGCGUCCAUCAUAUGUCGUGUUGACUCUAAAUAUCAACCUUUCAUUGUGUUUACCUUGACCAGUAUACCAAACUAGUGGUUGUGAUAUGAACUACCUUGAUCCCUUAGAUUGCUAUCAGACGCCCUAGAGAGAGUCAAUUGUUGACUCUCUCUCAUGGACCCUCCCUCCAGCGUGAGCCUCCAAAAGAAAAUGGGCCUAGGCCCUAUUGCUUUUCACAAACCCCUCUCAAAAGGCCAAUUGCUAUUUCAAUACGAAAUACAACCCCAUGUCCUUUUUAUUUAAUUUAUCUCAUUUAACUUAUUUUCUUAAUAAAUAGUUUUGUUAAUUUAUUUCUAUAAUUAGCAAUUAAUCAAUAAUUAAUUAAAUUAGCUAAUAACUAAUUUUAAUAAUUAAGGGUUUAUUUUAUUUCUAAUCAAUAAAUAAAAAAUAAAAAAAUAUAUAUAUGUUUUAUAAUUAGGGUUUAUUAGGAUAAUUCUGUGAUUAAUCUUCAGGUUUGCAUUUAGACGUCAUUAGGGUUAAUUAGGGGUUUAAUCAGGAUGAUGUUAAUAUUUCUUUUGUUAAUAAAUUAUAUGUAAUAUCUUAAUAAAUAUAUAGCAUUUGACUUAAUUUAUAAUUAACGUAUUUGUAAUAUUUUUGCAAUUAACAAACUAACUAAAAUCAACUCGACACAUUCAAAUUCUAAGUCAUCUGCCCUUGUGCGUUGAGGAAUUUUCAAAUUAAACACUUUCUUUGCCCCCGAUUCGUUGAGAUUCUUUUAAAGAUCUAAAAUCAAACAAACAAACAAACAUUUUUAGAAGAACUAUGUUGCUUUGAUCCUUCAUCUAACAUGAAGGUACGUAGGCACAAAGUCGUAGCACUCUAGCGAAUAUGAUAACCAAAAACUUUUUCUUUGUCUUUAUGUAAUAAUAAAUUUUUUCUAUGAAUAAUAACUUAAGCCUUUGUAAAUAAAUAACAUAAGCAAACUUUCCUUAGAAACACACAUUAACUCUAGAAUUAAAGGAGGAUCCCAUUGAGUACAAUGGAAGUGAGGGGUGCCUAACACCUUCCUCUUGCUUAACCGACUCCCGAACCUUAGUCUCUCCCUUUAACUAUAUGUUUUAUCAUUAUUUCCCUAUUCCUAAAGAACAAAUAAAAUAUGAUGGUGACUCUGUGAUUUUCCAACCGGGACAACUAGCGACUUUGCUAGGGAGUCCUACUUCCCUAAAGAGAGUUUAUCCUAACCUCUAGCUAUAGGGUUUCGUGUGUUUUCUUUCUCUAUUUUAUUUAUUUAUUUUCUUCUCUAUUAUUUAUUUUAUUUUCCUUUCCAUAUGUUAUGCCUUUAUUAUUAUUUUAAAUUUAUUAUUUAUACUAUCACGUCAUUGGAUGGGAAAGUUACUAUGUGAGAAACUAAAACCCAAGCUUGGAGAAAAAACCUAAGUUAAGAAGUAGAACUGAAAUGUUUUCUAUGAGGUGCCACAUCUCAAAGAUACAUGGAAGUUACACUCAUAAUAAACCCCCCGAAUAUAUCCUCAUAGUAGGGAUAGCCCCUAAUAUGUUAAUGAUUUGGAAGUGGUCCAUGACUUUGAGAACCAUUUUCUAGAACCUAUUCUAUUCAUGGUGACCUUAUGUUAUCAACCCCCAAGGGUUGUUACUAGGGUUCUGCCCAGAUGAGACUAAUCCUGAAGGAUUACCAUAGGAGGGCCUACUCCUUCUCAUGGUAAAAUAAGGGUAUGGUCCAUGUCUUUAGGGCCACUAUCUUGAUCUUUAUAUCUCACAAGUGAGGGGAUUAGGUAUUCUAAACGUAGAGCUAGCCUAUCAUAAGAAGACUCCCUAAACUAGGUCAUGCUUGCAUAUUACCCUUAUCCUUAAAAAAACGGGAAAACAAAUCAUAUCAUCAUUCCCAUCAAAAUCAUUUUUUUCAUUCAAUCAUUUCAGGAAUCUUAAUCAUCAUCCAAGCACCCUAAGUAUAAUAGAAUUUGGUAAAAGGAAGCCCCUUCAGUUCAAGAUAAGGGAAUCUAAGACAGAUAACCUAUGGAACUAUGCCAUGAGCUUGAGCAAAGGUACGAAGAACUCUCUGAAUUACAAAUAUGGAAAAGUCUUGGACCUCUUGAGUGUCCCUGUGUAAAAGGAGACCUUAACUGCCCUAGCAUAAUUCUUUGACCCUACAUUUAGGUGUUUCCAGUUUCAAUAUUUUUAAUUGGCUCCGACUCUUGAAGAGUUUCUCAAGAUCCUAUAGACUUCUAAACCCAAAAAGGCUCCAUUCAAAAUGAUAGGGUAUCUCCAUACAGUGGAAGAAAUGGCUUAUCACCUUAGCAUCCAUGGAGCUGACUUGCAAGCCAACUUAAGGGUUUGUGGAGACUUCAAGGGCUUCCCGAGAGAGUAUCUAGAGAAAAGGUUCGAUGACUUUGUAACUUCCCUACAGUGGGAUGCCUUGGACAUAUCAUGAUCCUCCUUGCCUUCGAAAUAAUACAUGUUCCCACGGAAAAGGACUUCAUGGAUUAUACAGCCAUCAAUUUGUUUUUUGUCGUAAAAGUUGGGGAUGAAGAUCAUGUACCUGCUCUCCUUGUUGAUGUUUACCAUAACCUCUAUUAUAAGUUUUCCAUCAUUCUCUUUUACAAAUGGAGUCUUAUCAAUUCCAUCCUUUCUAUAUCCAUGGUUGAUGAGAAACUCAGUCAAACUUUCAUACCAAGCUCUUGGAGCUUAUUUGAAACCAUAUAAUGCCUUCUUUAGUUUGAACACAUGAUUUAGGAAAGUAGGAUCAACAAAUCCUUUUGGUUGUUCAACAUACACUUCUUCAUUUAAAUAUCCAUUUAAAAAGUCACUUUUAACAUACAUUUGGAACAAGUUGAACUUUAAAAGACAUGCCAGUCCAAGUAGCAAUCUGAUAGAUUCUAGGCAAGUCAUAUGAGCAAAUGUUCCAUCAAAGUCCCAUCCUUCAAUUUGAGUGUAUCAUUGAGAAAAAAGCAUGGCUUUGUUUCUGGAAACAACACCGUGUUCAUCUAACUUGUUCUUAUACAUCCAUUUAGUACCAAUAACAUUUGUCCCUUCAAGUCUUGGUACCAAAUCCCAAACAUCAUUUCUUUUGAAUUGACCAAGUUCAUCUUGCAUAGCAUUAAUCCAUAACUCAUCAGUGAAGGCCUCCUUGAUAUUAUUGGGUUCAAAUUUUGAAACAUAACAGGCAUUUGACACAACUUCCCUUGAUUUGGUACUUAUCCCUUCAUUCAGAUUUCCUAUUAUAAGCUCCUUAUGAUGAUCUUUCUGAAUUCUAAUGGGAGGUCCUUUGUUAGCUGACCCAGUCUCUGUAGGUUUAGUAUUACCACUUGAGUCCGUAACAUCUUUAGGAACAUCAUUCAUAGAUGUCUCAACAUCAUAUGUGACAUCAGCUUUUGUAGUUGAUUCAUCAACAACAAUAUUUAUGGAUUCCAUUAUCACCUUAGUUCUAGAGUUGAAUACUUUAUAUGAUCUACUGUUUGUAGAGUAUCCCAGAAAAAUUCCCUCCUCACUUUUAGGAUCCAUUUUCCUCCUCUUCUCACGAUCUGCCAAAAUAUAAAAUUUACACCAAAAUACAUGGAAAUACUUCACACUUGGCUUUCUUCCUUUCCACAAUUCAUAAAGUGUAGCAGAUGUACCAGAUUUGAUAGUCACUAUAUUAUGGAUAUAGAAUGCAGUGUUCAUGGCUUCUUCCCAAAAUGAUAUGGUAGUUUCUUAGCAUGAAGCAUGACCCUGGCACAUUCUUGAAUAGUCAUACUCUUGCGUUUAACCACACCAUUCUGUUGAGGGGUGAUGGGUGAAGAAAACUCAUGACUAAUCCCUUCAGAAGGGCAGAAUUCAUUAAACUUGCUAUUUUCAAAGUCCUUUCCAUGGUCACUUCUAAUUCUGACAAUACCAUAAUCCUUCUCUAUUUGAAUCUUUUGACAAAGUUCUUUAAAUACUUCUAAUACUUCAGACUUCUCUUUGAUGAAAUUCACCCAGGUGAACCUUGAGAAGUCAUCAACAACAACAUAGGCAUACAUCUUUCCUUCAAGACUUUCAACCUGCAUAGGUCCCAUCAAGUCCAUAUGAAGUAGCUCCAGAAUUUUUGAAGUGGUCAGAUGUUGGAGCUUCUUAUGUGACAUCUUUGUUUGCUUCCCAAUUUGACAUUCACCACAGAUUCUUCCUUCAUCAAUUUUUCAGUUUGGGAAUACCUCUAACUACUUCCUUUAACAAAACUUUCUUCAUACCUUUCUGAUGUAAGUGACCAAGCUUUUGAUGUCAUAGCUUAGAUUUAUCUUCUUUUGACAUCAAGCAUGUGGAGAAAUAAUUUGUUUCUUGAGGAGUCCACAUAUAGCAGUUAUCUUUUGAUAUGGCUCCCUUCAUGAUAACUUCAUUCUUCUCAUUUGUUACUAGGCAUUCAGAUUUAGUAAAUUUAACUUUGAAACCUUGGUCACAAAGUUGACUAAUACUUAUGAAAUUAGCAUUCAUCCCUUUAACAAACAGAACAUCAUCAAGACUAGGCAGUCCAGCUUUCCAACACCCUUUAUUUCACCUUUUGAUCCAUCUCCAAAAGUGACAUAGCUAGUGGAAUAUGAUUUAAUAUCCACCAAGAAUUUCUUGACACCAGUCAUGUGUCUAGAACAAGCACUAUCAAAAUACCAAUCCUCUCUAGCAGAGGCUCUAAGGGAGGUGUGAGCUAUGAGUCCAGAAUUGCCAUUUCUGGGAAUCCACUUUUUCUUUACUUUAACAAUAGUAUAUUUUCUUCUGGAUUGUGAAACAGGUUUGGGAUAGCCAUAUAGUUUAUAACAGUAUGGUUUUAUGUGACCAAACCUUCCACAAUGAUGACAUGUCCAUUGUUGGGUCUUGCUUUCUGAGUAAUCAUCUUGAUGUCUUUGCUGAUGUUGGGACAUAUUUGGCAUCUUUUGUUCCUGUUUUAUUUUAGGAUGAACAAAAUUCAUUGCAGGUCAUUUUCCUUUGUUUAUCACAACUUGACUAUCAUAACCAAGACCUUUAACAUUUCCAGCAUUCUUACCAGUUUGAAGAAUCUCAUCCAACACCAUCAGAACUACUGUUAAGCUUUCUUACAGACUUAGUCAUAUUGUCAAGUUUUGAAUUGAGCAAUACAACUCCAUCCUUCAUAUUAGAGAUGAUAGACGGAUGCUCCACUUUUUCAGCCUAUAGUUGAGCAAUGACAUUCUUUUGAUCUUCUCCUAGUUUACACACUUCUUCACUUCUGAGGCACAAUUCCUUGUAUGACUCAGCAAGUUCCUCAAACAUGAGUUCUUCGCAAUUUGAUUCUUCAUUAGAAUCACAAAUUCCAGUCAAGGCAGUAACCUAUUUGGCAGAUUCCACUUCAGGAUCAUUUUCAGAAUCAUCUUCUGACCAUGACACAGACAGGCCCUUCUUCAGCUUCUUGAGAUAAGUGGGACACUCAGCUCUUAUGUGUCCAAACCCUUCACAUCCAUGACAUUAGAUUCCUUUUCCUUGGUUAGACUUUUCUUCAGUUUUGGGCCUUCUCCCAAAAUCCUGAUUUUUGUUGAUGUCUAAUGACUUGUUCAUGACAUUUGAUCUUGUCUUCCAGUCCAUCUUCUUCAUCACUUUGUUAAAUCGUCUUCCAGGUAACACAGUAGCAUUAGAUAUCCCUUCAUCUGUAUCCAGGUCACAUUCAUCUUCUAAGUCUUCAACAUUAGAAACAAAGGUUAUGCUUUUCUUCUUUUCAGAUUUUUCACUUAUCCCUAAUUCAAAGGUCUGAAGAGAUCCCAUAAGUUCAUCAACUUUCAAGAUGUUUAUAUCUUGGGAAUCUUCAAUGGCAGUUACCUUCAUGUCAAAUCUCUUUGGAAGAGAUCUGAGAAUUUUUCUGACCAACUUAGCUUCUGACAUCAUCUCCCCCGGGGCACUUGAGGCAUUUGUUAUCUCAACAAUAUUCAUGUGAAAGUCAUGAAUGUUCUCAUCCUUCUUCAUUAUUAAGUUCUCAAACUUGGUGGUAAGAAGUUGAAGUCUUCACAUCUUCACCUUAGAGGUUCCUUCAUGAGCAGUCUUCAAGUUCUCCCAAGCAUCUUUAAUAAUAGUACAAUUAUUUAUUAGUCUAAAGAUGUUCUUGUCCACUCCAUUGAGCAGAGCAUUCAAUGCUUUGGAGUUUCCCUGAGCUAAUUUAUCAUCUUCAUCAUCCUAGUCUUACUCAACCUUCAGCACAUCAGUAAUCUUACCAUCUUUAUCUCUAGCCAUUGGUGGAUCCCAUCCCUUGACCAUAUAAUUCCAAUCCUUGUUGUCCAUGGAUUUAAUAAAGGUCAUCAUACGAGCUUUCCAGUAGUCAUAGUUGGUUCCAUCAAGAAUGAGUGAUCUGUUCACAAAUCCUCCUUCCUUGUCCAUUGUACCAGAAAGUAUCUUCCCUGAAUCUCACCCAGAUACAGAGCAGGAUGCCUGCUCUGGUACCAAUUGAAAUUUUGGUAUGCAGAUAUCAGAUGUCCUAAGAGAUGUCAAGACACUGAUAUCUGACCAAAACACAAUGACAAUAUAACAUACAGUUAAGAGUACUGAAAGUAAUAGAACACACAUAGUUGUUAACCCAGUUUGGUGUACAACACCACCUACAUCUUAGGGAUACCAAGCCAGGGAGGAAAUCCACUAAAUAGUAUCAGUUUGUAGACCUUCAACAAACUAUCUCCAGUUUACAAUCUACUCCCUAAUCACUACCCGUACUUAAAUGAUACCCAUCUCACUUCUCUUUCAAUUACAACAGUGAUGAAACAAUACUAUUUUGAAAGUUUCAGAAGUUACACUUCAAAGACACACAAUCACUCAAUGCUUAAAAUCUUAAGAGUGAUUGACAGAACUUACAACUUAAUAGAGACAGUCUUACUCUUAUACCAUGAUGAUAUUAGAGAGGCAAACAAUUAACAUGAACAUACAAAUAGUGAAACAAUAUUUGAUAUGUGCUCCAAUUAGGUUUGUGGCAUUCUAUUUAUAACCAUAGUAUGUACUGGAUUUGGGCUUCAAAAUCGCAUCAAGGCAGUUGCUAAAAGUUUGCAGAAUAUUCUACAUAAAAUUAGGUCUUCAAUCAAGGGUUUUGUAAAAUGUCUCAACAUUUAGAAAAACAGAAUAACUUAAAUAGAAACAGAACCUUUGAUUCCUCAAUCUUGGAUGCCAUAUAGGAUUACUUAAUAUUCCCAGAAUAUUCAGUAACCUGUUAAUCAAACGAACUGUUACCAAGAUGUAAACAUGUAACAGAUAAGAUGUCGGAUUCAUAUGUUAGGACAUCUUGUUCAAAAUGUUGCUGCUAAGUUAGUUUUACCAAAAUUACCUCCAAUCACACAUAUAGAGAAUUAACAGUUAGAACACUAGGUGAUAUGGAUGUUCAUGAAUGUAGAUGAACCUCAAACCAAAAUUUAGAUAAAAAUGAAAGAGGAGGCAACUUUUAGGGUAUGGCACAUGGCUAUAGAACUUCAGCUCGCACUUCGAUAGGAGCAACUCCUUUUUCUCUGGUAUAUGGCACCUAAUGGGUACAACCUAUUGAAGUCGAGAUCCCCUCUUUGAGAGUCCUGAUGGAAACUAAAUUGGAAGAGGCGGAAUGGGUACAGACAAGAUUCGAUCAAUUGAACCUCAUAGAAGAGAAGGGCAUGUGUUACGCCGUGAAAAAUACAGAGUCACCACCGGAAUUUAUUUAUUCCAAAGGAAAGGGAAAAUAGUGAUAAAACCCCAAAGAGAAUGGUCUUCACAACCAGGAGCGGAUUCAGAAGUCGGUUAUGCAAGGGGAAGGUAUUAGCACCCCUCACAUCCAUGGUACUCCAUGGAAACCACUAGCUUGUAUCAAUGCAUAUGGAUGUUGUUUAUUUGAAUGUUUCUUGCUAUCGGGAAAUGAGAUGAGAAUAAAAUA
rnacentral:lncRNA from 1 species